CUGAUUGUAGGCUUAGCUGCCGACCUGAUUCCUGAUGGGGUGGCGAUCCUACAAUAUGCGGAUGAUACAAUCAUUUGUAUUGAAGAUGAUGUGGAUAAGGCUGUCAACCUGAAGUUGUUGUUGUAUAUGUUCGAAAUGAUGUCUGGUCUGAAAGUUAACUUUCAGAAAAGUGAGAUCCUCACUGUGGGGGGAGAUGAAAAUGUGGUGAAUAAAUAUGCAGAAAUCUUCAACUGUGAGGUUGGCAACUUCCCACUCAAAUAUUUGGGGAUGCCUGUGAGUUAUGCCAAUCUAAAAACCUCGGAUUAGGAGUUUAUUGUUGAUAAAUACCUAAAGAGGUUUGAUGCCUGGAUCGGAAACGCUACCUCAAUGGGCGGGAGACACACUCUGCUUGACUCUGUUGUCACUCAGAUUUCUCUCUACCAUAUGUCUAUGUGGCUUAUGAACAAGACUUUCAUCGAGAGGCUAGAUAAACACAGACGCAGGUUCUUUUGGCAAGGGUGCAACAAAAAAGGAGAUAUUAUCUUGUUAAGUGGAGCAAGAUUUGUAGAUCCAAAGACAAAGGGGGUUUGGGCAUUAAAGACCUUAGAAAACAAAAUAUUAGUCUCAUGGUUAAAUGGUGGUGGAAAUUAG
rnacentral:rRNA from 1 species